rnacentral:rRNA from 1 species
UACGUAGGGGGCAAGCGUUGUCCGGAUUUAUUGGGCGUAAAGAGCGUGUAGGCGGCUUGGUAGGUCCGCUGUGAAAACUCGAGGCUCAACCUCGAGAUGUCGGCGGAAACCACUUGGCUAGAGUCCGGAAGAGGAGAGUGGAAUUCCAGGUGUAGCGGUGAAAUGCGUAGAUAUCUGGAGGAACACCGGUGGCGAAGGCGGCAUCCUGGACCAACACUGACGCUGAGGAGCGAAAGCCAGGGGAGCGAACGGG